ensembl:lncRNA
CCUGGCCCGGCUGGCUGGCUCUCUGCUCCACCCCGAGGGCACCACGCAGUCACGGGAAGGCGCACUGAAGCAGCGAGGGCCCCCUCGGUUAGCACUGGAAAAUCGGUUCCUAGAAUUUGACCAGUGAAUCAUAGUGAAGAAAUGCAAACUCGAGUGCAUUUCUUGUUUUUCCUCCUUCCCCUUGAGAGAUGGCGGCCCUCGCUGGGCCGCACCCCACCCCACGCAGACGCGGAAGGAGAUAGCACCCUCCAGCCUCAUCAGGAAUGGGUAAACCUGACCCCAGCCCAGCUUGUCCAGUUGCCUGUCAGGCAACAUAAGCUCUGGGAUGCCCCCAGGACAACCAAGCUGAUCCAGUCAAGGAAGCACAUUCUAGGAGACGAAACAGCAUGUGCAAAGGCCCUGGGGAAGAAAAGGGGACCUGAAGUGAGGGAAACUUUGCAGGGCAAGAUCUGCGGAGCCAUGGGGGCACAAAUGCCCAUGUUUCCACAGGGGAGUCAGACCCUAAACCCCACCAUUCCCCAUCAGGUGCCAGCUAACUCAGGCCCCAUGCCUUCUCACAGAUGAGAAAACUGAGCUGCAAAGAGCUAGAGUGGCUGGUCCUGGUUUAGAGAGAACAUAUGCCCAAAACGUUAACUCGGGAGGAAACAGGAGCACCGGAACACGAGUCCGAGAGCCUGGCUCCAGGCCAGCCCUGCCCUGCGAGGAGACCCACAGCCUCGUGGGGCCAUCUGGCUCCUGCCCCAACGCUCCUUCGUCUGCUCAGGGGAGGCAAUAAUAGCACCAGCCUCCCAGGUUGUUAAUGGAAAAUACACGUGUGCCAGCGCCCUCUAAACCCCUCAAGGACUGUAGCUCUUGUUCAGGACUCUUGACCUCCCAGCCCUCUCCCUGUGCCUGCCCUCACCCCCACAGCAGCCGGUGGGAUCCCCUGAAACCUUGCGUCCCAUUGGGCCACACCCCGACUGACAGCCCGCAGUGGCCUCCUGGCCGGCAGCCGUCUUCCUCACCGUGGCCCCCUGGCCCGGGUGCCUGGACCCCUGCCCACGUCCGUGCCCUCGGUCCUGCCCAUCCCCCGGCGCCAGGCUCUUUGCCUUCCCUCUGCCAGGAGCUCUCCCUGGUUUGGGCUCUUCUCCUUCAGGUCUCAGUCCAAAUGUUGGUACUUAUUAUGUGCUGCCUUUUUCGGUUUAAUAGAAUAUUUGUAUUUGCUGAUAUCUGCAUAAAGAAGCUCUGAUUCUUUCAAAACUACAAACAGUGAUGACUGGGCCCGGGGACAAGCACAAGAGGGACAGAGGUGGCAGAGGAGCUGCCCUCGAUAGCUUUUUACCAAUUCUGGGUUUUGAACCCCGCGAAGGCUCUAUAUACUCACCUUCUUGGAGAGGCCCGCCCUGACGGGCUGUUCCCAAACCGCCCCCUCUCCCUCGCUCUUCAUCCCCUCCCCGCUUUAUUUUUAUUCAUCCUCCUGUCACUAACUGCCAUCAUUUUUAGUGUGUAUUUGAUGGAUUAUUGUGUGUCCCUCCCAUUGGAAUGUCACCCUGGGAGCCCAGGGCCAGGUCCUGUCCCGGCACUGUGUCACAGGGGCUUCACAGAUCCCCGCUGCACACCAGAAGCCCGUCCCAGAGCUGCUCCCACCGCCCAGCGGUGCGCACCUCCACGCACCGUCCACGCUCAUUGACGCCACACCAGGACUGCAGCCAGCACGCCACGGGUGCUCAACAAAUGUUUGUGGAAUGAAUGAAGGCGUGGAUGUCUAAAAGACCUUCUAACAGACGGACACAGACCUUCCAGAAGGACGAGCGAAGCUUUUUAAGAGGAAAACACCUGGAAUAGCUACUGGCACAGAGGAGAUAUUCAAUACAUGGUAGCUACUAUAAUUAUUACUAGAGUGUGAAUGACUUGCCUGGGCCUCUUUCUGUGAGCAGGAGGAAGAAGUGAGGCCAGGAAAGCCCUGAGAAGAGAGGGAGGAAACACAAAAUUCUUCUUUGGAGCUUUUCC